rnacentral:rRNA from 1 species
CGUAACGCGUAUGCAACUUGCCUCACAGCGGAGAAUAACCCGGAGAAAUCCGGACUAAUGCUCCAUACACUCUUAGGGACCCAUGUCCCUGAGAGGAAAGAUUUAUCGCUGUGAGAUAGGCAUGCGUCCUAUUAGGUAGUUGGUGAGGUAACGGCUCACCAAGCCGACGAUAGGUAGGGGUGCUGAGAGGCAGAUCCCCCACAUUGGGACUGAGACACGGCCCAAACUCC